rnacentral:lncRNA from 15 species
CUUGGGCUUCAGUUUUUGUUGGCUCUAUUUUUACACAUCCAGGCAACCAUCUGUUAAGAAAACGUUCAGCUUGGAUAUGGCAUCAGUUCCGGAAGACCAGGCCAACCCAUCUCCUCUAAAGCUUCCUCCCAAAAGCUGAUGCCUUACUCAUCCAGCCUGCUGAAGAUUCUCUGUAAAACCUCAAAAUCUUUGGGCUCCUCACCAUCUAAUGAAUCUGACAUAUCUGAGCCGUCCAGGAAACUUAAUGUCCUCGCGGUACACUGGACCGAUCCAUUUAUUGUCCGUAAUAACAGCCAAUGUGUAGGCACACAAUAUGUGGUUUUAAUGGUAGAAUGUAUCCUGAGCAUGUGUGCAAUGCAGUAUAUACUGUCAGUGGUAGUACAGUCACAAUUGACAGUCAAAAACAAAUUAAAGUAACAUUCCUAGUAUAAGAUCUGAACCAGCCAUUUGCCAUUUCAGAAAUAUAGCAACAAUGACACAAAUCCACCGCACUGUGUUCUAACAAGUAUCUAAUUAAAUAGGUUGUACAAAGCCAGGGUGCAAAUCUGUCAUAUUAUUUCUUCAAUGUGACCAUGACAUCACACUGGCACAGCACGGCCCUUCUCUUUCCUUUCUCUGUUUUUGUGGCUGAGGUAUUGGAGCCCAUACGUAAUACCCUUGCUGUCAAAUGAAAGUCAGGUUCCGACACAUACAGCAAUGAUUUGUUUUAGCAAUCUGCUAGCUCACUGUGCGCCUUUCAGAAUAAGAAUUGAUGAGAUACUGAGUUUUUGCACAUAUACACAGGCUUACAGUUUCUUAUGGUCAGCAUAUUUGUCCUGUUAAAUUAAAACUGGCAUCUCUUAAAGGACCAGUGUGAAGUGUUUGGAGGCAUCUAGAGGUUUCAUUGCAGAUUGCAACCAACUGAAACCCCUGGAGCGCCAUGGAGAAUCUACGAUGGCUGUAAAACUCUCGAAAAACGUGAAAGGCUCUGUCCAGAGCCAGCGUCAGGUUUGUCUGUUCUGGGCUUCUGUAGAAACAUGGUGGUUCAAUAUAGGCUCUUUAGAGCUUUUUAAAGCUUUUGUUGUUAAACUGGUUGAAAUCCUACCUCCGCCCACUCUGCCCCUGCACUCACUGAUUGCACAUGACCGCAGUCUUCGGCAAGCUGGCCAGUCAGACAUUGCAGUACUAUGUAGAACAAUGUAUGACUCACACAUGAGGUAGUUGGAUGCGGUUAGUGAUGACAGUGAUGCGUUGUGCUCCUCUCUCCAAUACUGUUUCAUGGACUCCUCUAGCAGUAGUCAGGCACUGCAUGUUCAUAUGUGUUGGGGGAGGGGCUUUGGGGGGAGGGGCUUUGGAGGGAGGUCUGUAAAAAGAUUUUUUCGGUUGGAUACUUUCAAAAUC